GUCCCCUCAUAUAAAUUUGAGUUGGUAGCUGCCUAUACAAAAGUUGCUACCUUAUUUUCCCCAGAAUAAAGUUGAGAGCAUCACUGCUAGGAUUACAUGGGUCAAAACACUUGUGGAAGAUGCUGCUCAAGCUUGUUUGUGACAAAAAACUCCUAAAUUAGAUGGUCGAAAGUGUAAAGUGGCUUUGGCUUUGUCAAAAGUGAUCAGAGUGAUACAGAAGUGAGUGAU
rnacentral:lncRNA from 1 species